GGGGGUGCCCCGGUUUCGACUGGUACGGUUCGGGAUACAGGUUGCAGAUGGAGUGCCGAUCUCCUGAUUCGGCGACAAUUUAACUGCCAACAAUGACAGUUACGAUUACGCCUUAGCUGCGUAACCGCGUGGAACCCUUCCGCCGCCUUGAGGGAGGACUUCCGCGUUGCAAUCAAGGCUGGCCGAUCUCCGGUUCCGGAUGGGGUGAGGUGAGAAAUUCCCGGAAUACGGAUAGGCAGCGCGCCGUUUAGCCACGCCAAUCCCGACAAUACCAAUAAACGGCUAAAUCUGUAGAGGCCCGUAUUUCGCGUAUUAGGACGCGGGUUCGACUCCCGCCACCUCCAACU
rnacentral:tmRNA from 1 species